rnacentral:rRNA from 1 species
GCACUACAAGGCGUGAAGCUUGCGGUUUAAUUGGAGUCAACGCCGAGAACCUUACCAGGGGAGACAGCAGGAUGAAGGCCAGAUUGAAGGUCUUGCUAGACAAGCUGAGAGGAGGUGCAUGGCCGUCGCCAGUUCGUGCCGUGAGGUGUCCUGUUAAGUCAGGCAACGAUCGAGACCCGCACCCCUAGUUGCUACUGGAUCCCGUUGGGAUCCGGGCACACCAGGGGGACCGCCACCGAAAAGGUGGAGGAAGGAGCGGGCCACGGCAGGUCAGUAUGCCCUGAAUCCUCUGGGCCACACGCGAGCUGCAAUGGUAGGGACAGAGGGUCCCCACCCCGAAAGGGGGAGGUAAUCCCUAAACCCUAUCUCAGUUGGGAUCGAGGGCUGAAACUCGCCCUCGUGAACGUGGAAUGCCUAGUAACCGCGUGUCAUCAUCGCGCGGUGAAUACGUCCCUGCUCCUUGCACACACCGCCCGUCGAUCCAGCCGAGUGAGGUUUGGAUGAGGCGCAGUCUUAUAGGCUGUGUCGAAUCUGAGGUUUCGCGAGGGGGGAU